rnacentral:lncRNA from 1 species
UUUUUUUUUUAGCAGGAUCGACCUCGACUCCUCUUUCGUUCACAAUAAGCCUCGGCAGCCUACCGGACAGCACUCCAUAAGUGCACUGAUUCUGACUCAACAGUGUGAGUUAUCCCGACCGGUCAAACAACUUGAUCAAGUCCACCGGAUGCCCCUCUUCUACUUGGGACUUUGUCAUCAUGUCAUCAACAUGGCAUUCGCUUUCACGGUGAGUCAUAUCAUGAAACAAAGUCACCGUAACCCUUUGAUUCGUGGCACCGGCCUUCUUCUUCACUAGAGGAUAAUCUUCUCUCGAUGGUAGC